rnacentral:rRNA from 1 species
ACCGCAUGGUCUUAUUAUUAAAGAAUUUCGGUUAUCGAUGGGGAUGCGUUCCAUUAGGCAGUUGGUGAGGUAACGGCUCACCAAACCUUCGAUGGAUAGGGGUUCUGAGAGGAAGGUCCCCCACAUUGGAACUGAGACACGGUCCAAACUCCUACGGGAGGCAGCAGUGAGGAAUAUUGGUCAAUGGGCGCAGGCCUGAACCAGCCAAGUAGCGUGAAGGAUGACUGCCCUAUGGGUUGUAAACUUCUUUUAUAUGGGAAUAAAGUUUUCCACGUGUGGAAUUUUGUAUGUACCAUAUGAAUAAGGAUCGGCUAACUCCGUGCCAGCAGCCGCGGUAAUACGGAGGAUCCGAGCGUUAUCCGGAUUUAUUGGGUUUAAAGGGAGCGUAGGUGGACAGUUAAGUCAGUUGUGAAAGUUUGCGGCUCAACCGUAAAAUUGCAGUUGAUACUGGCUGUCUUGAGUACAGUAGAGGUGGGCGGAAUUCGUGGUGUAGCGGUGAAAUGCUUAGAUAUCACGAAGAACUCCGAUUGCGAAGGCAGCUCACUGGACUGCAACUGACACUGAUGCUCGAAAGUGUGGGUAUCAAACAGGAUUAGAUACCCUGGUAGUCCACACAGUAAACGAUGAAUACUCGCUGUUUGCGAUAUACAGUAAGCGGCCAAGCGAAAGCAUUAAGUAUUCCACCUGGGGAGUACGCCGGCAACGGUGAAACUCAAAGGAAUUGACGGGGGCCCGCACAAGCGGAGGAACAUGUGGUUUAAUUCGAUGAUACGCGAGGAACCUUACCCGGGCUUAAAUUGCAUUUGAAUA